rnacentral:sRNA from 1 species
ACUGGGCAUGGUGUGCAUGCCUGUAAUCCCAGCAACUCAGGAGGCUGAGGCAGGAGGAUCGUGACUUCAAAGCCUGUUUCAGCAAUUUAGCAAGGCCCUGUCUCUA